GAGUUUGAUCAUGGCUCAGGACGAACGCUGGCGGCGUGCCUAAUACAUGCAAGUAGAACGCUGAAGAGAGGAGCUUGCUCUUCUUGGAUGAGUUGCGAACGGGUGAGUAACGCGUAGGUAACCUGCCUUGUAGCGGGGGAUAACUAUUGGAAACGAUAGCUAAUACCGCAUAACAAUAGGUGACACAUGUCAUUUAUUUGAAAGGGGCAAUUGCUCCACUACAAGAUGGACCUGCGUUGUAUUAGCUAGUAGGUGAGGUAACGGCUCACCUAGGCGACGAUACAUAGCCGACCUGAGAGGGUGAUCGGCCACACUGGGACUGAGACACGGCCCAGACUCCUACGGGAGGCAGCAGUAGGGAAUCUUCGGCAAUGGGGGCAACCCUGACCGAGCAACGCCGCGUGAGUGAAGAAGGUUUUCGGAUCGUAAAGCUCUGUUGUAAGUCAAGAACGAGUGUGAGAGUGGAAAGUUCACACUGUGACGGUAGCUUACCAGAAAGGGACGGCUAACUACGUGCCAGCAGCCGCGGUAAUACGUAGGUCCCGAGCGUUGUCCGGAUUUAUUGGGCGUAAAGCGAGCGCAGGCGGUUUGAUAAGUCUGAAGUUAAAGGCUGUGGCUCAACCAUAGUUCGCUUUGGAAACUGUCAAACUUGAGUGCAGAAGGGGAGAGUGGAAUUCCAUGUGUAGCGGUGAAAUGCGUAGAUAUAUGGAGGAACACCGGUGGCGAAAGCGGCUCUCUGGUCUGUAACUGACGCUGAGGCUCGAAAGCGUGGGGAGCGAACAGGAUUAGAUACCCUGGUAGUCCACGCCGUAAACGAUGAGUGCUAGGUGUUGGAUCCUUUCCGGGAUUCAGUGCCGCAGCUAACGCAUUAAGCACUCCGCCUGGGGAGUACGACCGCAAGGUUGAAACUCAAAGGAAUUGACGGGGGCCCGCACAAGCGGUGGAGCAUGUGGUUUAAUUCGAAGCAACGCGAAGAACCUUACCAGGUCUUGACAUCCCGAUGCUAUUUCUAGAGAUAGAAAGUUACUUCGGUACAUCGGUGACAGGUGGUGCAUGGUUGUCGUCAGCUCGUGUCGUGAGAUGUUGGGUUAAGUCCCGCAACGAGCGCAACCCCUAUUGUUAGUUGCCAUCAUUCAGUUGGGCACUCUAGCGAGACUGCCGGUAAUAAACCGGAGGAAGGUGGGGAUGACGUCAAAUCAUCAUGCCCCUUAUGACCUGGGCUACACACGUGCUACAAUGGUUGGUACAACGAGUUGCGAGUCGGUGACGGCAAGCUAAUCUCUUAAAGCCAAUCUCAGUUCGGAUUGUAGGCUGCAACUCGCCUACAUGAAGUCGGAAUCGCUAGUAAUCGCGGAUCAGCACGCCGCGGUGAAUACGUUCCCGGGCCUUGCACACACCGCCCGUC
rnacentral:rRNA from 1 species